UGCUUGUCAUUCGUUGACUGAUAUUUAAUUGGUUUUGUUUUUGUUCAGGAAAAAUGUGACUUUUUUGUGUUCUGCCACUUGAUUGGAUGGUGGGCCAAGGCGCUGAUGAUCCGGGAUUGGUGGUUGUGUACUGUAAUUAGUGUUUUAUUUGAGAUUCUUGAAUAUACGCUGGAACAUCAACUGCCGAAUUUCUGUGAGUGCUGGUGGGACCAUUGGAUAAUGGACGUGUUGAUAUGUAAUGGUUUUGGAACAUACCUUGGGAUGAAGACUUGUGACUACCUGGCUAUCAAGCCAUUUCAUUGGAGGGGGUUGUACAAUAUCCCCACGUACCGGUAAGCUGGUUAUGUUAUGAUUGAGUGUUUGAACAGUUAGAAAUAGUGAGGGAAAUUAUAUAGAACCACCAUUGAUCCACCUUAGUCCAUCUAAUUUCCUCGUCAUCAUCAUGAUUAACACCACCACCACCCCCAACU